CACCCCUUCGCUCUGCAGAAGUAAAAUCUCAAAACAGACCUGGAAGGAUCGUUUCCCCUAGUGACCCAGCCUGGCAAGCCUGGUUUCUUCUCACCUUCAGGCUUUGUUUUAGUUCUUUAAAAUACAGGCUGCUGGGUGAAGAUGAUGGGCUGGUGUCUCCUCUGAGACUUAUAAACCUCCGUCGUGAAGAGUUUAUAUGAAACACAGCAUAAUCCACUGAUCCACCAUUUACUGGAACCAGAGAGUGAUUUUCUCUUAAGCAAAAGCAGCCAGAGACAUUCCACACACCUGCUGCCAACAGCAUCUGUUUGCAGCCUCUGCAAUGGAGGGCAGAGUGGUGGGAACAAGCACUCACUGUUACUGUUGACAGAAGAGAACUCAGUAGUUAAAUAUGUCAGCCAGCUGAAGCCAGGGGAUCCAAGACAAAGAUGAGAGCAUUCCUAUUUGUAUCAGACAGUCCUAAUUAAAAGAAGAUGCUCGGAAGAUACCACUGUGCCAGGCAGUGCUGCAUGAAAAAGAUUGAAUGUGGAAAUGCAGGAGAAAUAAUCUACAGGUAAUUAACCAAGCGUAGGAG
rnacentral:lncRNA from 1 species